UACGUAGGGCGCAAGCGUUGUCCGGAAUUAUUGGGCGUAAAGAGCUCGUAGGCGGCUUGUCACGUCGGGUGUGGAAAGCUCGGGGCUUAACCCCGGGUCUGCAUUCGAUACGGGCUGGCUGGAGUGUGGUAGGGGAGAUCGGAAUUCCUGGUGUAGCGGUGAAAUGCGCAGAUAUCGGGAGGAACACCGGUGGCGAAGGCGGCAUCCUGGACCAAUACUGACGCUGAGGAGCGAAAGCCAGGGGAGCAAACGGG
rnacentral:rRNA from 1 species